GUGUCAGCAGCCGCGGUAAUACGGAGGGUGCGAGCGUUGUCCGGAAUCAUUGGGCGUAAAGGGCGCGUAGGUGGCGUGGUAAGUCUGUGGUGAAAGCGCGGGGCUCAACCCCGCGUCGGCCGUGGAUACUGCUAUGCUAGAGCACUGUAGAGGCAGGCGGAAUUCCGGGUGUAGCGGUGGAAUGCGUAGAGAUCCGGAAGAACACCAGGGGCGAAGGCGGCCUGCUGGGCAGUUGCUGACACUGAGGCGCGACAGCGUGGGGAGCAAACAGGAUUAGAAACCCCAGUAGUCC
rnacentral:rRNA from 1 species